CGAGAAAGUGGUCUAUACUAUGGACGUAAAAAAUCUGCUAUAGCCGACGUUUCAGUUUCAUUCGGGUUGUUGCUUUGGUCACCAAGGUUUGCUUAAACGAUACUCGUGCAUUCCAUUUUUUCUUUUAAACGUGUUUGACUGCGUGACGAAUAAUUUAGAUUGCGAUCUCAUUUUGAGGAUCGUUGAUUGUUUUUGAAAUAUUGUAACGUAAUUUUUUGUAGAUAUGAAAAGUAAUACGUCUUCCUGGAUGAGGGCGUCAAGCUAUUCAUCCUUUUUGAUCUUGACUGCUGGAAUGACAUUCGCGUUUUUCCUAAUUUACAUCUACCAUUUAAUCCAACACGGAUGGUGAGGAUGGUGACAUGGUGUGUGUUGGGAAUGUAAUCGCCCAACAGACGACGACAAACCGAUCCGGCCACCGGAUGACUGCACCCGCGCAUUUGCACGACUAUUGUCUAAGGGGCCCCCGACAAGUGGCCCCAAACCCCCAUUGUUUCCCCACCUUUAAUUGUUACACCCCCACUAAGUGACUGUAAGUCUAUCAAUGUAAAACGAAUAGACGCUUGGAACAGA